rnacentral:lncRNA from 1 species
AGGAGGCGUAAAGACUUGGAUCAAUGAACAAUUUGAGAUCCAAGAUAGAUGGGUCCAAGGGCACCUAGAUAUUUUUUAGUCUAGGAUCACUCGAUAGUUGAAUGGUGAGAAGACGGCCAAUAUUGCUGAUAUCAAAUCUGAGGUUGUAGAGAUUAAGAAAAUGAUUACAGAUCUUUAUGAUAGACCGGUAGUUGCUGAGUCUGUAGUCAAGACAGUGAAUCCUACUUUCUAUGUGCCUAAUAUUUGGGUGGUCCCGAUAGAUGCACUAGUUGAGGAGACUGAAGAGCAACUAAGAGAGAAGAAGAGAAAGAAGAAAGAAUACAAAGAACCAAGGAAGAGAGCCAGAUCUGAGAGCAUCCAGGAUGAGCG